rnacentral:rRNA from 1 species
AGCGAACGCUGGCGGCAGGCUUAACACAUGCAAGUCGAGCGGGCACUUUCGGGUGUCAGCGGCGGACGGGUGAGUAACGCGUGGGAACGUGCCCUCUGGUUCGGAAUAACUCAGGGAAACUUGAGCUAAUACCGGAUACGCCCUUUUGGGGAAAGGCUUGCUGCCGGAGGAUCGGCCCGCGUCUGAUUAGCUAGUUGGUGAGGUAACGGCUCACCAAGGCGACGAUCAGUAGCUGGUCUGAGAGGAUGAUCAGCCACACUGGGACUGAGACACGGCCCAGACUCCUACGGGAGGCGGCAGUGGGGAAUAUUGGACAAUGGGCGCAAGCCUGAUCCAGCCAUGCCGCGUGAGUGAUGAAGGCCUUAGGGUUGUAAAGCUCUUUUAUCCGGGAUGAUAAUGACGGUACCGGAGGAAUAAGCCCCGGCUAACUUCGUG